GCUGGUGCCAUGCUUCCUGUACAGCCUGCAGGACUUUUGAGUGCCUGACUGCAACACCAUCUCCUGAAAUAAGACACAACUGUUUAAUUCACUGGCCUAUUCUCAGAAAUGGGAGACCAGUUUAAUGAAAUACCUCUAGAGUGGAACAUGACACUCUAAAAAACAGGCAUUUCUACCUCCAAGGGAAACAGAUAACAAAUCUCUGGCUGACCAACUGAUGAUUAUCAGCAAUGCUUCCUCGCAUCACAUCUUUAUCAACAUGAUGAAAUGUGAAAUGUCAAAUACAAAACAAUAUCACUUGGUUCAGAGCUCUAAAAUGAAGUCGGGAAGCCAUUCUAUUACUACCUACACAACAUGCCACCCUACAGAAAAAAAAAAUAAAGAAAAAGGAAAAGGAACUUGCCUUGAAUCUUUGAACUGGGCUAAACUACAAUGAUCACAUCUUAGAAAGUAGCUGAAUUUCACUAGCACUGCAACUCCUGCAUAGCAACAACCAAUGUACCAUGGACUCAUGUUCUAAGCCAGCCACCUCCACCAAUGAUAAUUCUUUCAAAACAACUUGUGCAAUCACUCUCGGCAUCCUUUGAAAAAUUCCUACUCUCCUUCCUCUCUUUGGAAAACAAUUUGACUCUUAGCCAAAUCUGUGUCUCCCAAAUUGCAACUUUUAAGACCUCAAUAAAUGCCAAGUCUUAUUGCAUUGCA